rnacentral:rRNA from 1 species
AGAGUUUGAUCAUGGCUCAGGACGAACGCUGGCGGCGUGCCUAAAACAUGCAAGUCGAACGCGAUGGCCCUUCGGGGCCUGGGAGUGGCGAACGGCGGAGUAAUACGUAAGCAACGUGCCCUGAAGUCUGGGAUAUACCGGGGAAACCCGGGGCAAUACCGGAUGUGAUCACUGCCUGGCAUCAGGUGGUGAUUAAACGGUUUUUCGCUUCAGGAGCGGCUUACGGCCUAUCAGCUAGUUGGCGGGGUAACGGCCCACCAAGGCUUCGACGGGUAGCUGGUCUGAGAGGACGAUCAGCCCGAGUGGGACUGAGACACGGCCCACACACCUACGGGUGGCAGCAGUUGGGAAUCUUGCACAAUGGGGGCAACCCUGAUGCAGCGACGCCGCGUGGAGGACGAAGGAUUUAGGUCUGUAAACUCCUUUUGCCAGGAAAGACUUAGGACGGUACCUGGCGAAUAG